rnacentral:lncRNA from 1 species
AUGAGAAUUCUUCUGUGCACAGGCCUCCUCUUGAGCUUGUUUUCAGUAGGGGCAUCACUACAAUGUAUGACAUGUCUAUAUCUGUACAACAACAAGUGUCUCAUGCGACAGGCACGUAAAUGUUCAGAGGAAACUUGCCGUGAAGUUGCUCUACAAAGCUAUAUAUUUUGUGAAGACAUCCUCAGCCUUACUUACAGUGACUGCGCUAACACUCAGGAUUGUAUCCCAGGCACCUUUUCUAUUUCUGGAGGAACCCCCCAAUUCUUUCGGAUGCAAGCUGAAUGCUGCAAUACUGACGAAUGCAACGAAAACCCUAUUCAAUGUAAGGGCCCUAGUAUUUUGGGCACUUUCUGUAUCAACAAUUCUUGCCCAGAGGCAAAAUAUAGAACUUCCCAAAGACAAAAUGUAAUAUUAAGACACUUAUAUUCCACCAAGUGUCCAUUCCUUUAAAUAUAGCCUUUCCAUAAUAUAUGCAUAAUAUACUUCAGCCCUUACAGAAUGUGUAUGGAGCUGACUUACCUACUUGAACAAGUGUUUUGCUGUCUUAUCAUUCCAUUGUGGACCGACUGAAAG